UGAUUAUUCCCUCCAUACGGAAAUAUUUGUCCUAGAGAUGAAUGUAUCUAGAUUUAUUUUAGUUAUAGAUACAAUCAUUAUAUUCAUUUUUAAGACAAGUAUUUCCGGACGGAGGGAGUAUUAA
rfam:Hordeum vulgare subsp. vulgare, WGS project CAJW01000000 data, contig: morex_contig_161583